rnacentral:lncRNA from 1 species
GAGACGUCUUCACAGGUACGGGAGGAGAUGCCACCGGUGAGUCAGCGGAGGGAGAGAUCGCAGGUGUGGCAACGGGUGAUAUGGUUGGAGAUGAUGAAGGAGAUUGAGCAAUGGUGGAACUAACAAAUAGUGUAGCCACAAGCAUCAACACAACUUUAUAGGAAGCCAUUGUUGAAAAUUGAAGAAGGAGAAUGAAAUUUUAGGAUUUAUAAGAAGUUUUGAAGUAGUGAGUAGAAGAAUUGAGAGAGUAGAUUGUUUGUGACUGUUCUGGAAAAGUGAUUAGGCAUGGAAGGGUAUUUAAAGAAGCUUAACCGCGUGAAUACGCGUUUCUACGCUAAGUCUUAUACGACGCGGUGAUUUUUUUUAUCCGUUACAAUUGUUUUUUCUAGGGGGAUGAAUUGCUGUAUCUUUUUUUUGUUUUUGAGAUUAUAUGAAAUUGUUGUAUGGAUGCAUAAAUAUGCAAGGUCCGGAGAUCAAACCUCGACCACCACCAAAAAAUGAAAUAAUUCUUAAUCAUCGUCGUAUGGAGCUGUAAUAUUGGUAUAUCAUUAUGUAUCAAAUCGGUAAUACAUAACAAUAUAAAGACAUGAGAGCUAACUCGAGACGUGGUUAUUUGAAGUAAAACAUGAGCGGCCUUAUUUGUCUGUCUUAAAUAAACUCGACACGAGAGCUUUUCAAAAAAAUAAAUUACAAUAGUGUAUACAAACCCGCAUAACAACCUCAAAUUCUAUGAUAUCUUUGUCGUCUCUCUCAAAGUAGUCAACAACUUUUUACAAAACAACCUUGAAGUCAACAUUCGCUCAACGUAGAUCAUUGAUCUACAUAAUAAUAACAUGAUACAGUCCUAGUGCCUCUUCUACUUCCACUCAACAUACAAGCACGAACAUCGUCACAAUACACAAACCAAUAUCUACUCUAUUACGGGAGACCGAGAAAGACGAGUCAACAUUGCAUUUAAACCUCCUAAAUGUCGGAUGUUUCCACCCUUACAACGAAGAUGAUACAAGGUGUUAUUGCAUCCCUUGCGCAUGAAUGGUUGAGGUGAACAUAACAUACAACAUUAUUCCCUUGCUUCUAAUUUGCCAACCUCCAGUGGUCGAGCAUAUGUACUGCUCGCUCUAAAAUUUGGUUGCUCGACUCCACCACAUGUUGCCAAAGCCUCAUGGUUCGGUUUUUCUAAAUGCUCCAUAAUAUUAUAACAAGGAGCUCCACUUGAUUUUCACUUGGACGCAGCAAUAGAGUGAAUAAAAUUUCAUCUGUUAUUAAGCAAAAUGAUUAAAGCAAGGUGGCAACUAGGCUACCCAUGAAAGAAUGAUGGAUAAUUUACCCCAACCAAUACACAUUAGCCACAUAAGCACAUAUUCAUGAACUAUCUUGACCCCACAAAUAAAUUGCUCAUUUUCAUUGGUUGGUGGAUAAAUUACCCACCAUUCUUCAAAGGUAAUUUAGAAAAAACCUUAAAGCAAUGAUAAGAAGGGCCUCAUGAGUUCGUACAAUAGUACCCAGCAGGUGAUAUUGUAUGCUAUAUCUUGUAUCUUCAGCGAUGCAUAUCUUCAAUUUCAUGAUGUAGCUUCUUAGAUCUCCAUUACAAUUCCUCACAUUGUUCCAUCAAACAUCUAAAACUAACAUUACUAGUUCAAAAUGAUUAAAUAACAUUAAAAAUUAGUUAAAACCAUAAAUUUUAAAUAGUCCGAUUGAAUGCUUUAGACCAUAGAUUCACUCAAUUCCCCAUUCAUUAUGUUCAUUAUGGGGACAAAGGCAACAUGAUAACCUACAAAAUUGCCGGUUAUCAGUGUUAUUAUUUGUUUGAAUUCACAACGAUUUUCAUACUAAACAUUCAUAGUUUCUUUAUAGGCCACCUUCCUUACUAGUAAGCCGAGCUUGAUCACAUCAUUUAAAACGGGAAAAGAAAUUUGAGUGUUAAAGUAAUACUAGUAGGCAUGGAAGAGAAUAUACAUCACUAAAGAAAUCUAUAACAUGACUUUGCAGAUGAAUCUCAUCAUAGAUUUACUUCUUGUUAUGAUUAUUGAAUUCGUAUCGCCAAGAUCAAUCGAUAUGCUACGAGCUUGUAAACCUCCUCAUAACGAGUAAUAUUGUUAUACUUUUUUCAAAGAUGGUCUCUAAGUAGGUAGAGUCUCUCAUUUGAAGAAGAAAGAAACGUAAUAUCAUAUACACAUGGAAUAUUUAAAAAGUAGCUAUUUUCUUAAUUUUUCCAUAAUGAAAUUUACUUUAUUUGAUAACUUGGAUUAAAAUGUUCAUUCAGGAGAGGCAGAGAUUGUGAUUGCAAGCAGCAUUGGUGAAAGUGCAUCAAAACAUGUUGUUCAUGGUGCAUAACUAACAGUAGAAUUCACACACAAGGGGUACUGCAAUUUUAUCAUUACCAUUAACAUUUGCCACUAAUUUUGGUUCUUUGACACUUCACCAAUUCUUCAAGUGAUAUGUUAUUAGUUUUUGACAUUGUUGUUAAAAUCCCUACUUAAAUCCUAAAAUUUAGUUACGACUUUUUUCACCUUCAACGACUCAAAUCCAUAGUAGAACCCAAAAUAGGCAUAAUUCAUCGAUUUUGAUUGCGAUUUUACGAUUUCUUAUAAAUUAAGUCAUUUAUGACUCUAUACCAUUUAUAUCAUAUAUUUAGUAUUAUUAUAUUUUGAUUGUGAUUUUACGAUUUCUUUAUAUCGAUUCUACAAAAGUAGUUGAGUAAAAUCCUUCGAUUUUGAUUGCGAUUUUACGAUUGUCGAUUUAGCUCUUCUCUUUCGUCCUGAAGCAAAACUCUAAUUUUGACAACCUUAAUUUUUGGUUUCUUCUGGUCAUUGAAACACACACAAGUUGAAAAAGUCACUAACAACACUCAGUAUUUAGAAUCAUUCGAACUUUAACCAGUAAUUGACAAGAUUGUGAAUAAAGAAAUAUCAAAUAACUGAUUCCAAAAUAAAAUUACCUUUGUUGUGUGUCAUCGUUUGUUUGUAUUACUAUUGAAAUAUGAUGCACAUUUCUAGAUAUUUGUAGAAUACAUUAGCAAUUUAUAUAAUGAUGAUCAUGUCUAGAUUUUUUUAUAGCUUAGUAGUUCGUAGAAAAAACCUAUUCUACAUUUUUCAAAAUAGUUUUGUAGAAGUUCACGAAAGUUCUAGAAUGUAGUAUCUAGAAUAUGCCUACUAUAAAUAGACAAACUAAUGUACAAUGGUAUUCAAGGCGGAGAUGCAAUAACAAUAAUUUUGAGGGCCACCACCAGACUAAAUAUCCCAUCAUAUAAUAAGUUGAUUGCUAGUGUGUUGCCUUUUAUCUUAUGUUACUAACCCACUACUAAAUAUCCCUAACAAUUUAUAAAUAGACAAACUUAUGUACAUUUGUAUUUUGAGCUGCAAUAACGAUAAUAUUGAGGCUUCACCACACCGUAUACCUCCUCAUACAUUAAGCUAAUCACUAGUAUCUUGCCUCUUAAGUCUUGACCCAUAUUAAUUGCUAAACUUAUGUACAUUUCGUAUACUAUAUUUUUCUAACAAUUAAGCAUUAGUGUUUUCUAACAAUUAUGGUGCUUGUGCUGUUUUUUUUUUUAAAUCAGGUAUCCUCCGCGCGCAACUGCGGAGACUAAGCUAGUAGAGACCUGUUCCAUCUUAUCUAAGCGCUCUUGGGUAUGCGUGUGCUAUUAUGUACGAAAGAAAUUAACAAAAAAACAAAAAACAAAAAAUUAUGUUCCUUGCUUAGUUUUCAAUUCUGGUUCCCUUCAAAUACAUACACUAAUUUAAAUAUUUUUUUGCACAAGUACACUAAUUCAAAUAUUAAUUUAUCCCUAAUAAAAGAAAACCGAGGCAGAUUUUUUUACGGCCACCGUGUGAGAAAGGGAAUCAAACAAUAGUAUAACCAAGAUAAGACCAGAAAAUAAUUGCAAGCAAAUAAAAAGAGUUGAAAAGCUUAAAAAGAGUUGACUAUCCAUGUAAAUACAUGAUUAAAAAAGAACAAAAUACAUAAAAUAAAAUAAAAACUCAAUGUAACUCUCUACAUCAAUAUCAAAGCCGCAAUAAAAACGACAGCAGCAGCAUAUCCGGCAACGUUGAAUCCAUUCAUAGUGGCACCGUUUGUGGGCGUUGAUGGUGCUUUAGUUGGAGGAGUAGAGAUCGACGAUGGUGCUUUAGUUGGAGGAGUAGAGAUUGACGAUGGAGUAAUAGCAGGAGCGGCAGCAGGGGAGGCGUGAGGAGGAGGAGAUGGUGGAGAGUUGAUGGCGGACGGUGAAGGAGAAGGACUGCUCGUUACAGGUACGGGAGAAGAUGCCACCGGUGAGUUAGCGCUGGUGGAGGGAGCAAUCGCAGGUGAUGGUGCUUGAGAUGGAGGAGUUGAGAUCGACAAUGGAGUAACUGCAGGAGCGGCAACAGGAGAAGCAGGAGAACCAAAGGAAGCAGGAGGAGGAGAUGUUGGAUAGUUAACUGCGAACGGUGAAGGAGAUGGAGCGUUCAUCAAAGGAACGGGAGAAGAUACCGCCGGUGAGAUAGCCAAGGGAGAUCCCGCAGGAGAUGGAGUGGCAACAGGAGAUGAUGAUAGAGAUCGUGCAAAGGUAGAACUAACCAAUAGUGAGGCCACAAGCAUCAACACAACCAUGUAGGAAGCCAUAGUAGAAAUUUGAUGAAGGACGAUGAAGUUUCUGAAGCAGCGUUGAGCGAGUAGGAUUAGGGUUUGGAACUGUGGUGAAAAAGGACAAGGGUUGAAGGAUAUAUUUAUAGAAGCCUAACCGCGUAAAUAUGCUUUUUCAUAGGGUAAGUUGUUUUUUGUGAGGGAUCAUAGGGUGAGUUGUUACUGACUGGUUGUUGAUCUUUUUUAUUAUUAUCUUUUUAUGUUUUUUGGUCAAGAUUAUUGAUUUAUUUUUUGUCGAAUAGUCUAGUUGUUGCAGCUCACAUAAUAUAAAUGUAGAGAAAUGGGGUGUCAGGGUUCGAACUUCUGCCCCUGCAUAAAUUAUUCUUAUUUUAAUAUAAUUUAAUUUAUUUUCAAUUGAUAAUUUAAAUAAUAUUAUAAAAAGGAUAAAUUAGUUUAAAGGGUAAAAAUAGAAGAAAAAAGUCUAGCUCAAAAUGGUGUAUGCCAAUUAUAUAGUGUUAUUUUUUGUUUGUAAGAGUCUUUUAUAUAGUGUUAUACAUAGAUGUUUGUGGCUUACCAAUUGUAACAAACUACGUUAUUUUUAACCAACAAUAUAACAAAUAUAAUAUUAUAAUUUGAUAAAAAAAUAUUAUAUAAAUUCUUCACUUUUUCAGUAACACCAACAAUAUAAAAUAUUUAUAAACAAAUUCAUUUAAGAGUAUAAUUCUAAUUAUAACAAACUCUAUAUGUUUACUUGUCAAAAAAAGAAACUCUAUAUGUUUAUACUUUACCAACAAUAUAAUAAAUAUAUCCAAUCUUAUUAAUCUCCAAUUUACGAGCCCAUUUGUUACAAUUUUAAAAAAAUCAUUUUUUAUAAAAAAUAAUAAUAAUCACUAAUAUCCUUCCAAAAUAAUAGAAUUUAGAAAAAAAACAACUUCAAAGUUUUUUUUUUUAGGGAAAAAUUCAAAGUUGUUAUGUAGCUUAUGAGAAAAUAUAUUUUUUCCUUGAAAGAAAAGAUUUUUUUAUUUUUUUUUUUACCAAGCAAAAAUGUAAUAUAUUAACAUUGACAAAGUAGUCUCCUUAGCACAAGGCGUACCAAAAAAAUCACUAGAUAGAACUAAUUUUACAUCAAAAAAUAUUUUUUAUAUAGUUGUAUUCAAACAUACUGAAUUUUUUUCUUCUUAAGUGAUUUUUAUUUUGGUAAAUAAACGCAAAAUAGAUUCUGAUUUUUUAUAAAAUCUCUAAAAAUAAUCUCUAAAACUCAAAAUAAUUGUAAUUUUAAUUUGUAACAUACAUACCUUAUACCAAUUAAUCAACAUUGUGGUCUAUUUGGUUGGUUGCAACUAGGGAUGAAAAUAGGUCAGGUCGGUCUACGGCCUAACCUACGACAAGUCAAACCAUACUUUUUUCUUAAAUAGAGAUUGCAUAGACUUUUUUAGAAGCCUGAUUAAAUUAAAAGGUCAGACCACAUGUCAUUCAAAAAGCCCUUAAGCUUGUUAGACCGAUCUAUUUAAGUAAACAUGAAUAGUAUUAUUUAUUAUUAUAUUAUAUUUUUCACUUUGAAUUAAAAUAUAAAUUUGUUAUCUUUUUUCAAUAAUUUAAGCUUAUUAUAUACAUUAGUCUUUUGCAUAUAUAUAAAGGUAUUAUUAUAAACUAGAAUUGAAGUAAGAUACAAUUUAUUGUGAAAUGCCUUAAAACCUCAUGUUGAUUAUCAAAGAAGAGUUUAACCUAAUUGAUCUAUUUGUUCACUAGUUUAUUUAAACUUGCAUCACAUUGCUUAUUUAAAAAUGUUCAUAAGAUAUAGGCUUUUAAACAGGUUAUCAGGUCGUAUCAGGUUUUCAUAAGGUCAGGCUCAGGCCUAAAAUGUAAGCCUUUUACUAGCCGCAAGCCAAGCUUAUAGGCUUUAAAAAAAAUUGGUAGGUUAGACCUAGGCCUUGCAAAGUCUAGCUCGGUCUAGCCUUUCUAGGUACAACAUAUGGAAAUAGGAAAAUAAGCCAUGCUCAAUCAAUUACAAUAAUUAAUUUUCAUAAAAAUAAAAAUAAAAUAAAAUAAAAAAAAGACUAAGGAUCUUUGAGGGAGAGUGUACUAGCUCUAAUGAAAGAAAUGACCAAACAAAACUAAAAUUAAUUUUCCUUUUGUUUGUUCGAUUUUCAAUUCUGGUUUCCUUCAAUUGAUCUGAUUUGUCCAUCAUAAUCAGAAAAACAUUGACAGAGUAUGAACGAAGGUGAUGAUGGCAAUAAUAAUCGAAUAUAAAAAUAAUUGCAAGCAAAUAGCAUAAAUAGAUUUUUUUUUUUUUUUUUUGAAACAAGCAUAAAUAGAUUCAUGUAAAUUCAUAAAAAAUAACUGCAAGCAAAUAGCAUAAAUAGAUUCAUGUAAAUUCAUAAAAUAAAAAUAAAAAAUAAAAUAAAAUAAAAAACACAACAAUAAGAGUCAGGAAUAUGUAAAUUUGUGAUUACAAAAAAGUCAAAAAAAGAAACAUCUCAGCGUCUACCCUAACAAAAAAAACUCAGCCAAGUCUAUAUCAUCAAAACAGCAGCGAAAACCACAACAGCAGCAGAUCCGGCAACAGUGAAUCUGUUGAAAGCGGCGCCGUUUGUGGAUGUUGAUGGUGAUUUAGAUGGAGGGGUAGAGAUAGACGUUGGAGUAAUAGCAGGAGGAGGAGAUGGUGGAGAGUUGUUGGUGGACGGUGAUGGAGAAGGAAUGCUCUUCGCAGGCACGGGAGCAGAUGCCGCCGUUGAGUUAGCGGAGGGAGAAAUCGCUGGUGAUGGUGCUUGAGAUGGAGGAGUAGAGAUCGACGAUGGAGUCACAGCAGGAGCGGCAACGGGAGAAGCAGCGGCAGCUGGAGAACCAGGAGCGGCAGCGGGAGGAGCAGAUGCUGGUGAGUUGAUGGCGAACGGUGAAGGAGAUGAAGCACCAGGAAGAGGAGCAGAUGCCACUGGUGAGUUAGCGGAGGGAGAAAUUAUUGGUGAUGGAAACGGAGAAAACAUGGGCGAUGAUGAUGGUGGUGAUCGAGCAACUGUGGAAUCCAGCAGCAGUGCAACCAAAAGCAUCAGCACAACGGUGUAGGAAGCCAUAGUAGAAAGAUGAAGAAGGAGAAUGGGAAUAUUAGGGUUUGAAGCAGUGAUAUUGUGUUGUGAAGAAAAUAUUAGGGCUGCAAAGGUUAUUUAUAUAAGCUUAAACGCUUCUUCCCGUUUCUAGGUUAAGUCGUUAUGACUUAUGAGUCGGUGAUUUUUUUUUUUGUUUUUUUGAAUAAUACAAUUUUUUUUUACAAUUUUUUUUAAAUUACUGUUGUAUUUAUCUUUUUCUUUUUGAUCAAAAUAAAGUUAACUAUCAUUAAUCAACUAAUGUGCAAUACAAGAAGGAUAAGAGUUAAAAAUGCGGUGACUAGCCCAAGAACAGACCGCCCUAGCUAAAGUAUGAGCAACCAUGUUCGAUUGUCUCCUAACAAACUUCACCUCGAAGUUGGAAUGUAAAGAUAACUGAUAAAUAAUACUAGAAACAAUAGCAUAGAAUUCUGAAUCACCAUGGCCCAGAGACGAAAGAGCUUGCACUAAAGUAGCAGAGUCAGACUCGAAGACAACCCGGUCCCAUCUGUUCACAUAAGCAAAGUGAAUAGCAUCGAGUAAGGCUACUGCCUCCCCCUCCAAAACUGUCAUAUUUGCCCGUUUCCAUUUCGUUUGUGCCCGAAUAAAUUUCCCUCGGGAGUCUCUAACACAACAUGCAGAGGAUGUAAGACGAUUACGGUCAUGGAACGCGGCAUCCACAUUGCACUUCAACCAUGUCUCGCUCGGUUUCUCCCAAACUAAGUUGUUACGUACCUUGCACCCUAUUCCGGUCAUGUUGCACAACCGGUAGUGAGGGAUGUUUAUGAACCUCAUGCCAUUGCUGCCAUGCAUCCAGAGCUGUCCUUCCAAUGCUUGUUGAAGGUAUAAUGAGCGUCCUUCCAAAUGACAUCAUUACAUGCAGCCCAAAUUUUCCAAAGAAGUAAAGCCACACGACCAGCAAUGUCUCGGCUUUCUGAACAACAUAUGUCAAAAACAAAAUUUGUCAAACUACUCUCAGUUCCAACUCGCGUUUGCAACACAGUCGAAAGUCCUGUCCAAUACCAACUUUCACUCGCCACCGUACAGCCCACAAAAGCAUGCCAAUCAUCCUCAACAUCCGUAUCACACCAGGGGCAGUUCAAUGUGUAACAACUCCAUCAUAGCUAGUUUGUCCCGACGACUCCCAUAUCUAACGACGAUGAGAAAUUGAAUCUCAUCACCGUCUUCAACGGGUUUGGGUAUCCAUACAGUGAAUCAUUUUUUUGAAUAAAAAAUUCAAGUUUUUUCCAGUCCCGGGAAUAAUGUUAUAAUGUAUUAUGCAGUAAUAUGCUCACUUUAACAUUUUUUUAUCGAAUAAUUUGGUUGCUCUUAUAAAUAUCAAUGGCAGGUUUUAUAACAUGACAAAUAUCAAUGAGUAAUAAAGUAAUUUCUACAUUCAUGAUAGGUUUGUGUAUGAGUUCGAGAUGAGUACAUAUAUCUUUGUUAUUAGUCUCGUACCCGUGUUUUAAAAUCGAGGAAAAUCCAAACACAUACCCAAACUAGUCAAAACGGAGAAACACAUCAAAUCGAGGUGGGUUCAGCCAAAUAACCGUGAAUACCGGUUUUACUAUCAUGCCUAAAUAAAAUGGAUAUAUAUUCUAACAAAUUAUACUGUCAAAACAUAAAAUAGAAACAGAAAGUGUACUAAAAAAGAAUUAAAAAGGAGCAUAUAGUGUAAUAGUUAGAGCAUCCACAAAGGAGAUCCUCAACUCCGAGCUCUUAAAUAGGUCCCACGGACGCAUCACUUUUUAAUAAUUUUUUAAUAAUAGCAUUUAAUAGGUACUCAACCACUCCAAUGGAGAUCCUUUAACAAAAGGUCUAAUANGGUCCCACAAAUAUUAUUUAAUUGCCAUGAAAAUUAUUAUUUUAAUAAAAAAUGAUGUGGAUCCAUUUAAGAAUGGGGCUUAAUAGUUAGACCUUGAAUCUUUUAAGACCCCCAAGUUUUUUUUCCCACAAUAAGGGUACCUAUUAGGUACCAGAUCUUAAAUGGUGAAGACCUCACCAUUGUGGAUGCUCUUAGUAAUCCUCAGUAAAAAAUAAAAUAAAAAGUAAAUCCUUCCCUCAAAUAAAAUAUCAAUUAAUUAGCAAUCCUGGUUGUAUCCGGAGUAAAUAAAAUAUUCAAUCAGAAAACGCAUAUGACCAUUACAAAAAAAAAAAAAGGAAAAGAAAUUUGAACUAGAAAGAUGAAAUUAAAUAUAUUAAUAUAAAACGCAUAUGACUGUUACAAAAAAUAAAAGGAAAAAAAUUUGAACUAGAAAAAGGAAAUACAAUAUACUAUUCGGGUAAUAUUUUAUUAUUUAUUUAUAAAAUUGUGACAACGUCUUCGUGAGCUUAACUCAAUUGACAUGAAUAAUGCAAAAAAAAAAACAAAACUAUCGUAACAUUUUCAGAACAUUCUUUGACCUCACAAAUACGAGACAGUUGAAUGUCAACCCAAUACAACCAUUAAAGUGAUCUUGGUACAAGAAUAUGGUAUUAAAAGAAAUCACUAAGUCACAAGGAUGAAUUCCUUAAAAAAAAAAAAAGUCACAAGGAUGAAUGAAGAUUAAAUGAAAACUUUAAAUAUGUUCAUAAAAUGAAUUCUAUAAAAAGAGAGUUAAGAUCUUAUCCAUUUGUCAUUUCCAUCUCUAUCAUUUGGAGAGAUAAUCUUUAUCAUUUGAAGAGAUAAAGAUACAAAAAUAGAUGAAUUCAUCAAAAUAUACAAAAGGAACGGUUUCUUUUUUUGAAAUAUACAAAAGGAACCUAUUGAAUGACAUAUAACAUAUAAAAAGAAUAUAUUUAAUGGUUGACUUAAAUAUGUAUUUGAACCUUGCAAUUAGGGGUCGUUUAAAAAUUGGUCCCUGUAAUCGCUAAUCCUGGCAAUUUACCCUUGCAUUGUUUAAUCAUUUAAAAUUUCGUCGCUCUCCCCACUUAAUCACUGCCGAGCCACAUGAAAUUCUAAUUUUACCCCUGGGUUUCCAAUUCUUUCUUCAUUAUUUUGUCCUCUUCUUAAGGGCAAAAUUGGAAUUUCAUGUGUGGCAGUGAUUGCCACGUCAUCAAAUUAGUGACGUGGCAAUGAUUAAAUUGGUCAAAGGACGAAAUUUAAAAUGAUUAAUGAUUGCAAGACUAGUUUGCAAGGAUUAGCGAUUACAGGGACCAAUUUUUAAACGACCCCUAAUUGCAAGGAUCAAAUACAUAUUUAAUAUUGGCUCCACCAAAAUGUGAGUAACACUAACAAGCUUGGACAUAUGAGAAGAUGACAACACAUGUGUGAGAGAGAGAGAGAGUUUGAGGUACCACAAGUAUUAAAAAGCUAAUGACAAAAGUGUUCCUAUUACAUGAUACUAAAAGACAAAGUGUGUCUUUAAUACAACUCAACUUGAUUUGUUUUCUGCCAAAUCUCCACAAAAAUAUGCAUGGUACUGUUCAUAAAAUAUAUGAGAUGACAUCACAAAAACGCAUAUGUUUAUUAGUUGUCCUUACCUUAAAAAAGAAAAAUGAUAUCGGUAGAACUACUUUGUGACAACUUUCUCUCACAUACUCAGAUUAUAUUCUUAUUCUCUCUUUUCUUUUUUUUCUCUCCAUUAUUUUUGAGCAAUAAAAAUAGAGAAAAAAGAGGUUAUCUCAAAAGUUGUUUCAAAUAGAUGUUCAAAUAUCAUUACUCCUAAAAAAAAAUGUUUAUUAGGUCCUAUAUACAUCAGCUGAGAACGUUAUCAACACUGCAAGAACAUUUUGACAAAAGGCUUCAACAAGAGUGAAGUACUCUAAUGUGUUGGUAACUUUUCCUUCCCACCUUUGCCUCUAGAAACUCCUGUUAUUUACCACAUCAAGGAUGGUCCUCAUCUAUAAAUGUUCAACAAGGACAAAGAGCAUAAGUCUUGAGCAUAAUCAUACUCUCUUGAUAUUUGUCAAUCAUCAAGAAACAUCAAAGACUCCUUUGUUUUUAUCAUCUACAUCAUUCAAGCUCAUGCAUAGAAAUCAAACAUCUUUAAAGGCAGCAACUUAUUUUACACUAGUUUUUUAAGUGAGUAAGAAACAUGUCAAAACAUUCAUCAAUUUUAAAAUUGCUCUAGUUACUCAUUGAAAGCGUAAUUAAGAAGUGUAAAGGCAAGGUUGCCAAAUCAAGGUUGUAAAGUCGAAGUGGUUAAAAGGAAAUUGAGUGUAAAGAUCCUAGGGUGAUCUAAGAAAAUGCAUAGAGAUAGUAUUAAAUCUUAAGUGCAUGGUGGAAAAUAUCACAAUAUUGUGUGGACUAAAGUAGCCUACAUUGGAUAAACCAAUAUAACUUUAUGUGUGUGAUUCUCUAAUUAACUCGCCUCAUUUAAAUUUCCAAUUUACACUUGCUAUAGUUAUUAAAUGUUGUUUCUUACUAAGUAAGUAAUCAAAUAAAAGUUAUCAGUUUAGAAGUUUUAUUGCAAAUUUUUUGAAUGGAUCACAAUCCAAAAUCCCAUUUUACUUCAGAAAGAAUCACGUUCACAACUUAUGUAAUGAAGGAUAUGAGAUCUUAGUGCUCUUUAAAAUGGUACACAUUGGAUAGGAGGAUCAAAUUAUACAUAUCAUCGAAUUCAAAUACACAAAAGUAAAAGAAGCAUUGAAAAGGAUGAGUAAUGAUUAGGAAGUUGGACCAAAUAACAUAUCUAUUGAACUAUGAAAAAGUCUUGACGAUAAAAGCAAGGGGUGGCUCACCAAAUAUUUUAACAAAAUUAUGAGGUUAAAGAAAAUGUUAGACGAGUAGAGUAUAACAACUUAAUUUAAUUCCAAUCUAUAAGAGCAAUGGAGGAUAUAUAAAAUUGUACAACUUAUAGAGAGGCCAAACUUAUGAGUCACACCAUGAAGUUAUGGAAAAGAAUGAUUGAGAGAAGAAAGAAACUCAAUUUAGUAAUAACUAAUUUGUAUUUACGUCUGGAAGCUUAAGGUCCACCAUAUAUGGAACCAAUCUACUUAAUUACUAUGAUGAGUGAUGGAGCAAUAUAUGAUCAAUUAAAAAGACUUGCGCUUAAUUUUCACUAAUUUAGAGAAGAAUGAUGGUACAACGCCUAGAGAUAUUUUAAGGAAAGCCCUAAAGACGAAAGGGGGUUAGGUUGCUUAAUCUAAGAAGUCAAAUAUAUGUACAAGGGGUUCUUGACCAGCGAGAGAACGUAUAUAAGUUGGGGCCACUAACAAUUUUCCUAAAAGAAUAGCAUUUCACUAAGGAUGAAAUCAAAGUCAUUAUAUUUUUACUUAAGUUUUUUAUGUACUUAUGAUACACAUCCAAGAGUUAGCGCCGAGAUGUAUACUUUUUAUUGAUGAUAUAAUCUUACUUCGAGAGUUGGUGGAGAAAGUAAAUGAGAUUGGAGACAAGCCUUAGAAGUGUAUGACUUUCCCCUCAGUAGAAGUAAGACAAAAUAUAUAUGCAAUGUAGAUUUAGCAAAAGGCCAAUCAUUCCUAGCAUAGAGAUGAAAGAAGAACAUAUGAUACCAUAAGUUACAUGAUUUAGAUAUCUUGGAUCCACCAUAUAAAACAAAGGAUAAUUAUAAGUAGAUGUAAACCAUCGAAUUCAAGGUGGAUGGUUAAUUUAUCGAUUAACUAUAUCAUAGUCAAUGGUGUAUUGAACAGGGUGUUGGGAUGAAAAGAACCAAAAUUAAAUAAAUUAAGUGCAGUAGAUGUGAAGAUGUCGACUUUCACUAUUAGAAAAAUCAGAAAUGGUUCCCCGUGAGCUUAACUCAGUUGGUAGGGAUAUUGCAUAUUUUAUGCAGGAGCCGGGGUUCGAACAUCGGACACUCCACUUCUCCACAAUUAAAUUGUGUGAACUCUAGCCACUAGACUACUUGACAAAAAAAAAUUGGAAAUGGAGAGGGACCAAUUUCAUCGUUAUAUUGCGAAAUUUCCAUCUCUACAUACUUUAGAAACAAAUUUGGGGACGAAACUGAAUAUGUCUUAGAGACGUAUUGUCUUACCACACAUACUUUACAGACAUAUUGCCUUACCAAAGGAACACUUAAAUUUUGUAAACAUCUAGGGUUGAAAAUAUGCAAACCAGUCGGCAAUUCUUUAACAAUGCAAAAAGGUAGCUACAUUCAAGGCCUCAACCUUAAAAAGGUAACUUGAUGCUAAUUUUUUUUUCAACUUGUACUUCAUUGAAUUAAAGGAUGAUGAGGUUCAACAACAGGAAGCUCCAACUUCUACAAUUUUCACGUUUUCUUCUUGGUUUGAACUAACAUCCCUCAUUAUUGCCAUGAUGAGAGGUUGCACCUACUAAUUUAAAUUAACCAAGAAAACAAUUUGACCAUUCCUUGACAAGUGAUAUUUUGCAGUGGCUUACCCCCUUCAACAUUGGAAGUUUCCAAUGCUUCUUAAGGAAGUGACAUACUUCCACUAAGGCUUGAAAUUGUUGACAUGAUUUCAUGAUUUCACGACAUAACCGAAACCACUGGAGGUUGACAUUGCAACGGUGCUCACAACUUUGGACACGCCAAAAGUAAGUUACUUGUCGUGUUAGAAGUACAUGAAUUGCUAAAUUUUUCACAACAGCAUGCACGCGUAUGAAAAUAAUCAUCACCACAAGAAAAAGGUUACACACGUAAGUUACAAUAGCUCGUUCGACCGGGCCUUCCAAAUUGUCUACUGUGAUCUUUUUUGUUACAAUAUAAGCAAAUUAACUUUUUAUAUUCAUAUAUUUAACGAUAUAUGUUGUUCAUAUACCACAUACAUCAUUAAAUGAAUGAACUUAAAAAGUCAAUUUUAUUUAUAUUUAGAAAUGGAGGAAGUAAUUAUGAACUGCGUCAAACCGACCAUAAAUAAAUGUUUAAUCAAUGUGAUCAUGGGUGUGUUUUAUAAAGUGUUUUGAAAAAAAGAAGGUGUAUUUUGUUGAGUUGACUUUUAAACAUACGUAUGUGACCUUAUUGACAAAAAAAUGUAUGUUGUCAUUAGUUUGCAAAACAACUCCCGCACUACUUAAAAUUUAUGGGUAUGUGUUUGAUUGAUUUUCCCAAGUCAAUUACAUGGUAUUGGUACCAUGAAAUGCUCAAUCAAUUAAAAUAAUUAAUUUUCAUAAAAAUAAAGUUAACAUCUUGUUGAGGGAGAGUGUAUUGCUCUGUUUCAUGAAAGAAAUCACCAAACAACUAAAAUUUCUCCUUGUUCGGCUUUCAAUUUCUGAUUCCCAUUAAAUACAUAAUUUGUCCAUAAUAUCCCGAAGAAAAUUGAUGGAAUUUAUUUAUUUUUCCUUUCCUACUACUAAUUUUUGUUGUUGUUGUUGAAAGAUACACAAUUCAUUCAAAUGAAAACGAUGAUCGACAAUAAGAUAAAUAAUAAUUGCAAGGAAGUAGUAACGUUGAAAAGAAGAAGAAGAAAAAAUGUGUCACUGAUUAAUUAAAGUAAUAAAUAGAUUACAGAAAAUAAUCGAAUGAAUAAAUCGUCGUCGCACAGAUCGAAACAGAGAAACAACAAAAAGGUACAUAGUAGUUCUCACGAUCCAUGUAAAUUCGUGAUGUAAAAAAAACAAAAUAAAAUAAAAUAAAAUAAAACUCGAGUAACUCUCUAUAGUAUCAAAGCGGCGGCGAAAACCACUACAGCAGCAGAUCCGGCAACGGUAAAUCUGUUCAAAGCGGCACCGUUUUCGGAAGGUCCUUCGGAAGGAGGAGUGGAAAUGGAUGAUGGAGUAAGAGCAGGAGAGACAGCGGGAGAGUCGGAUGAAGCAGGAGGAGGAGAUGGUGGAGAGUUGAUGGCUGAAGGUGAAGGAGAUGGAGCGUUCUUCACAGGUAUGGGAGCAGAUGCCGCCGGUGAGUCAGCGGAGGGAGAGAUCGCAGGUGUGGCAACAGGGGAUAUGGUGGGAGAUGAAGAUGGAGAUUGAGCGAAGGUAGAACUAACCAAUAGUGUAGCCACAAGCAUCAAAACAACUGUGUAUGAAGCCAUUGUAAAAAUUUGAUGAAGGAGAAUAAAAAAUUAGGGUUUAUAAG